rnacentral:rRNA from 1 species
GAUUAGCCAUGCAGUCUCAGUACAAGCCGAACUAAGGUGAAACCGCAAAAGGCUCAUUAAAUCAGUUAUGGUUCCUUGGAUCGUACAAUCCAUUACUUGGAUAACUGUGGUAAUUCUAGAGCUAAUACAUGCAAACAGAGUCCCGACCAGAAAUGGAAGGGACGCUUUUAUUAGAUCAAAACCAAUCGACGUCCGUCUUCCUCCGGGUCGACGGCGCCGUACUCCUUGGUGACUCUGAAUAACUUUUGGCAGAUCGCACGGUCUUCGAACCGGCGACGCAUCCUUCAAAUGUCUGCCUUAUCAACUGUCGAUGGUAGGUUCUGCGCCUACCAUGGUUGUAACGGGUAACGGGGAAUCAGGGUUCGAUUCCGGAGAGGGAGCCUGAGAAACGGCUACCACAUCCAAGGAAGGCAGCAGGCGCGCAAAUUACCCACUCCCGGCACGGGGAGGUAGUGACGAAAAAUAACGAUACGGGACUCAUCCGAGGCCCCGUAAUCGGAAUGAGUAUACUCUAAAUCCUUAUACGAGUAUCAAUUGGAGGGCAAGUCUGGUGCCAGCAGCCGCGGUAAUUCCAGCUCCAAUAGCGUAUAUUAAAGUUGUUGCGGUUAAAAAGCUCGUAGUUGGAUCUGUGUCCCGCACCGUCGGUUCACCGCCUGUCGGUGUUCAACUGGUGUGUAUGCGGGACGUCCUGCCGGUGGCGGUCCGGUUCCCCGUGGGUACGUAGGGGCGUCCUUGCUUACGCUUGCGUCGUCCCCGAAGGCCUGCGCGGUGUAUCCGGCCGCCUUUUCAAUCCCGUCGCGGUGCUCUUCACUGAGUGUCGAGGCGGGCCGGCACGUUUACUUUGAACAAAUUAGAGUGCUUUAAGCAGGCCCUGUCCCGCCUGUAUGUUGUGUGCAUGGAAUAAUGGAAUAGGACCUCGGUUCUAUUUUGUUGGGUUUUCGGAAUCUGAGGUAAUGAUCAAUGGGGGACAGGCGGGGGCAUUCGUAUUGCGACGUUAGAGGUGAAAUUCUUGG